rnacentral:rRNA from 1 species
AGUUGGUGAGGUAAUGGCUCACCAAGGCGACGACGGGUAGGGGACCUGAGAGGGUGACCCCCCACAAUGGAACUGAAACACGGUCCAUACACCUACGGGUGGCAGCAGUAGGGAAUAUUGCACAAUGGGCGAAAGCCUGAUGCAGCAACGCCGCGUGUGCGAUGAAGGCCUUCGGGUCGUAAAGCACUUUUCUGAGAGAUGAGAAAGGACAGUAUCUCAGGAAUAAGUCUCGGCUAACUACGUGCCAGCAGCCGCGGUAAAACGUAGGAGGCGAGCGUUAUCCGGAUUCACUGGGCGUAAAGCGCGUGCAGGUGGUUCGGUAAGUUGGGCGUGAAAUCUCCCGGCUCAACUGGGAGAGGUCGUCCAAUACUACCGAACUUGAGAGCAGAAGAGGAAGAUGGAAUUCCCGGUGUAGUGGUGAAAUGCGUAGAUAUCGGGAGGAACACCAGUGGCGAAGGCGAUCUUCUGGUCUGUUUCUGACACUCAGACGCGACAGCUAGGGUAGUAAACGGGAUUAGAGACCCCGGUAAUCCUAGCCGUAAACGAUGUGAACUUGGCGUUGGUGGGUUAAACUCCAUCAGUGCCGAAGCAAACGCGAUAAGUUCACCGCCUGGGGACUACGGCCGCAAGGUUA